rnacentral:rRNA from 1 species
AUUGAACGCUGGCGGCAGGCCUAACACAUGCAAGUCGAGCGGAUGAAGGGAGCUUGCUCCUGGAUUCAGCGGCGGACGGGUGAGUAAUGCCUAGGAAUCUGCCUGGUAGUGGGGGAUAACGUCCGGAAACGGGCGCUAAUACCGCAUACGUCCUGAGGGAGAAAGUGGGGGAUCUUCGGACCUCACGCUAUCAGAUGAGCCUAGGUCGGAUUAGCUAGUUGGUGGGGUAAAGGCCUACCAAGGCGGCGAUCCGUAACUGGUCUGAGAGGAUGAUCAGUCACACGGGAACUGAGACACGGUCCAGACUCCGACGGGAGGCAGCAGUGGGGAAUAUUGGACAAUGGGCGAAAGCCUGAUCCAGCCAUGCCGCGUGUGUGAAGAAGGUCUUCGGAUUGUAAAGCACUUUAAGUUGGGAGGAAGGGCAGUAAGUUAAUACCUUGCUGUUUUGACGUUACCAACAGAAUAAGCACCGGCUAACUUCGUG